rnacentral:lncRNA from 1 species
CAUUAUAUUUUAGUUAAAUGUAUUUUUUAUGUAAUCUUGUUUUUUAAAAAAAAAAAAUAGCACAUGUUGAAACGAUGUAACAACAUUUUUUUUUAUAAUCAUAUAUGUAUAUAUAUAUAUAUAUAUAUAUAUAUGUAUAUAAUUUUAUUAAAAACUAUUUUUAUUACAUGGAAAAAAAAAAAAAUAAAUAAAAAUGGCAGAAAGAUAUCCUUAUGAUCCUUCACACAAUUUACAAAAUAUAACGCAUUUAGUUGAGAAUGCGAUGGAUACAAAUGAAACUAAUUUAACUUUGUUAAGUAGUACUAUAAGUAGCAUAACAGAGUCUAAUAAUAGUUCAGUUGGCAAUGUUACUAUUAGUUUGUUUAAUGAUUUAAUCGAAUCUGUUCGACAUGAAUCCAUGCCACAUAGUAUAGAGAGAUUAACUGGAAAUAUAACUGAUACUCCCAUCACAACAACUGAAAAUAAUGAUGAAAUAUUACUACUUGUCAUAAUAUUUUUAGUUACAUUAUUGUUUAUCAUUCUAUUUUUAUAUAUACUUUAUCAGCAAAAGGAAACACUGAAAAGAUUAUUUCGUGAUAUGAAACGUGAUGUAGUAUUUUCUUUAAAAUAUUGUAUAAAGACACUUGACCCAGAAAACAAUUUGCAAGAUGAUACUGAUACGUCGACACAACAACCAGUAGUGACAACUACAAUGACAAAUUUAGAAUUUGAAGAAGAUGAGAAAAACAUAAACAAUCACAAUAGUGAUGCGUAUGAUGUUAAAGAAUGUAGUCUUAUAACUACUGAUAUAACAACAAUCGCACGUUCAAAUUGUAGGUUAAGCACUGCGUCACAUUCUGCUAACGAUGGUGGAAAAAUUGAUUCCGUCACAUUACUUGGUGCAUUUCAACUUGGACCAAAUGAUGAUAUGGAAAUUGCUCAUAAUAGUUCUGAUGAUGGUUUUGAUGAUGAUGCUGUUGAUGUUGGUGCUGUUGGUGUUGAUGUUGGUGCUGUUGGUGUUGAUGUUGGUGCUGUNNNNNNNNNNGCUGUUGGUGUUGAUGUUGGUGCUGUUGGUGUUGAUGUUGGUGCUGUGAAUGUUGAGAUUGAUCUUACCGUUGGUUCGGAUGAUGAUGUUAAUGUUGAUUCCGAUGAUGAUGGUGAUUAUGGUGAUGAUGGUGAUGAUGGUGAUGAUGGUGAUGAUGGUGAUGGUGAUGAUGGUGAUGACAAUAAUUAUGGUAUUGUUAAUUUUUUUGACGCUUAUUCUGGUUCUGAUGGUUCUGAUGGUUCUGAUGGUGAUGGUGAUGGUGAUGGUGA